UCCGUACUGAUGUCAUGUAUUUUUGAGU
rnacentral:sRNA from 1 species